AAUGAAGUGGCUGAUAAAAGUAAUAAAUUGUAAAUUUAUAAAUGAGAUUAUUCUCCUUCAUUA
rnacentral:tRNA from 1 species